UUCUUUUUGUUUGCUGCCUUCCGUAGAAGAUGUGGCUUGCUCAUGCUUGACUUCUGCCAUGGUUGUGAGGCCUCCCCAGCCAUGUGGAACUGUUUUCAGGUGCUGGUUCCAUGGCUCUUCCUGAGCCGAAAAUAAGGAAACUCCAUAGACCUUGUCCACUGGAACUCGUUCCCAUCUACCCUCCACUCUAUCCAGCAUUUACAGUUUCAAGAGUUUGUGUCACAAUUAGAAGAAUUCAGCUGCACCUCCAAGUGACAGCAGUUGCUCUGGUUGGUGGGUGAUCUCAGGAGGCUUGAGAAUUGCUUUGUCUGUGAGGGAAGUAAGACAUUUUCAGAGCCCCACUUUAGAAGGUGUGAACUGGCUAGAUAAUGAACCCCAGGGCUAACGCUGCUAUAGCAGUGGGAAGGAGGUGAUGGGUUUUCAGUUUGGACCUCAAACAUCAAUACCCUCCUGGUACGGGGAGGAACAGAGUCCCUCCUUUACUUCUCCAUUAGAAAGAAUGAGAUGGCAAGACAAUGAAACAGGCAAAGUGAACAGAGAUGCAAGACAAAAUUCAGGUGAGAGAGCCAGAGCAUCACUCAGCCAUUCCUGACAUGUAAAACAGGCAACUAGAAAUUUGCAGAAAGGAAGCGAAGUCUCCAUAAAGAUGUUUUUAAAGUGAGCUUGAAGUAUUUGGAGACAAUUCAGUGUUACAUAAAAUCUGCAAAUCUCUGGAUAAAGAAGCAGAGAUCCCAGCAUGGGACAAAUGGAGCCUCAAAAGUGGGAAGAAGACAGAGAAGACCAGGGCAGAAUGCAUCUCUUCCUUUCUCUUGGCUUUCCUGGAUAAGGACUGCAUCAUUCCUGUGGAAGGACAGGCCAUCAGCUCCGAAACACUGUAUGUAUUUUCCAGUAUAUACUGCUAGCUGUGUGAUGUUGGGAAAAUUUGUUACCCUGUCUAACCCCCACUUCCCUCAUCUGUAAAAUGGAAAUAAUGAUAGUACCUACCUAUCUCAUAGGUGGCAACUACAAGGGGCAGCACACUCAGGGAAUUAAGGAAGUUUCAGUGAACAUCAACUUUAUGAACACAGUGUUCAUAAAGGCAGGUCAGUGCAGUGGUUUGGGAGCCAGGAGAAGCACGUGGGCCGGAGUGUGCCUGCAGGAGACAAGGUCAGAGAUGUUGCUAAUAAUGGAGAAUAAAGGAUGCAUUCUCAUU
ensembl:lncRNA ARLNC1 androgen receptor regulated long noncoding RNA 1